rnacentral:lncRNA from 1 species
CCCUCCCCUAAGACUAAAAAUACUCCAGCCAUCUGGUGCCUAGUGCAGUACAUGCCAGCAUUGGUUCCGCCUUGAGGAAUCUGGACAGAGUGUGCAGGUGAAAGAGUGGACCUCAUGGAAGAGGCUCACCUCUACUGGACCUUUCUGUUUUGCCCAGCUGCUUCUCACUAGCUUACAGUUGACUGGUGAACAGGAAAAGACAGUGGAGCCUAGGAACAUGGAGCAUGAGGACAAGGUGCUGGGACCAGAGGACAAGGAGGCACAGCCAGCUCUUCUACAGGGAAUGGGGUGGGUACCAAUCCUAAUAAAAUGAAAUGCUU